UUUCAACAAGAUUACUCGAUUGUACGAAGGCUGCUUUAGAGGUCUUCAGAGCCUUUUCAUCAUAAAUUUCGAAUUUAAUGAUUUGACAACUAUCCCAUCCGGUGCAUUUUUUGAUGUGGGGCAGACAUUGGAACGUUUGAUUAUCACCCAUAAUCGAUUGACGUCUAUUAAUGCAUCUAUUUUCUACGGGCUCAAUAAGCUUGAC